rnacentral:rRNA from 1 species
GGGAAAGUUACUCAGAGCGUCAGGUGGAUGCCUUGGCACCAAGAGGCGAUGAAGGACGUGAUAAGCUGCGAUAAGCGACGGUGAGGAGCAAAUAUCCGUAGACCCGUCGAUUUCCGAAUGGGGCAACCCAAUCCGAGUCAUGUCGGAUUAUUGCAUACUGAAUACAUAGGUCUGCAAAGCGAACGCUGUGAACUGAAACAUCUAAGUAGCAGCAGGACAAGAAAAUAAAGAAUGAUUUUGCUAGUAGCGGCGAGCGAACGCGAAAUAGCCCAAACCAAUGCAAUGUUAAAGCAUGCGGGCGUUGUUGCAUUGGGGUCGUGGGGCCGACAAGAAGAGCUGCAUCUCUUCACUCGAUGGUAUAUUGAUAGUCGAACCGAUCUGGAAAGGUCGACAAAAUAGGGUGAUAGUCCCGUAGGCAAAAUCAAUAUAUCACGUGGCCGGUACCCCAAGUACUGCGGGACACGUGGAAUCCUGUGGGAAUUCGGGAGGACCAUCUCCUAAGGCUAAAUACUCCUUGGUGACCGAUAGUGAACCAGUACCGUGAGGGAAAGGUGAAAAGCACCCCGGGAGGGGAGUGAAAUAGUACCUGAAACCUGUCGCUUACAAUCGGUGGGAGCCCCGUAAGGGGUGACCGCGUACCUUUUGCAUAAUGAUCUGGCGAGUUGCACCUCGGUAGCAAGGUGAAGUAGUUAAGCUAUUCAGCCGCAGCGAAAGCAAGUCCGAAUAGGGCGCAUAGUUACCGGGGGCAGACGCGAAACCGUGUGAUCUAGGCAUGAUCAGGUUGAAGCGCGGGUAAAACCGCGUGGAGGACCGAACCAGUUGAUGUUUAAAAGUCAUUGGAUGAAUUGUGCCUAGGGGUGAAAGGCCAAUCAAACUCGGAGAUAGCUCGUACUCCUCGAAACGUAUCUAGGUACGGCCUCUCGUGUUAGUCUAUUGGAGGUAGAUCACUGGAAGGGCUAGGGCUGUCACAACGGAACCGACCCCUACCAAAAUCCGAAUGCCAAUUAGAUAUCCGAGGGAGACAGGCCACGGGAGCUAAGUUUCGUGGCCAAAAGGGGAAGAACCCAGACCGUCGGCUAAGGUCCCCAAGUUAUAUACUCAGUGAAUAAGGAUGUGAGAUUGCUCAGACAGCUAGUAUGUUGGCUUAGAAGCAGCCAUCAUUUAAAGAGUGCGUAAUAGCUCACUAGUCAAGCGAUCUUGCGCCGAAAAUUGUCGGGACUAAGUUAUACACCGAAGCCACGGGUCAAUUCUUUGAAUUGGCGGUAGAGGAGCAUUCUAAUCGCCUGUGAAGGUGUGGCGCGAGCCAUGCUGGAGGUUUUAGAAAAGCGUAUGCCAGAAUGAGUAACGAUCAAAGCGGUGAAAAACCGCUUCGCCGUAAGUCUAAGGUUUCCCGAGUAAAGGUAAUCUGCUCGGGGUUAGUCGGUCCCUAAGGCGAGGCUGAAAAGCGUAGCUGAUGGAAAACGGGUUAAUAUUCCCGUACGGGUGUGUGGAGGUUGAUCUAAGGAGGGACGCAGGAACGUAAGGUCCGCCAACUGUUGGAUGUUGGUCUAAGUGCGUAGGCCGUUCUGGUAGGCAAAUCCGCCGGAAUAAAGCCGAGACACGAAUGGGAGGCGUAAGCCGCAAACGGGCCCCAUGUACGCUGCCAAGAAAAUCUUCGUAGGGACAAAAUACGCCCACCGUACCGCAAACCGACUCAGGUAGACGGGGAGAAUAUCCUAAGGUGUUCGAGAGAACCAUGGUUAAGGAACUCAGCAAACUAGCUCCGUAACUUCGGGAGAAGGAGCGCCUGUUACUGCUUCGGACUUCGCGUCCAAAGGCGGUGAUGGGCCGCAGUGAAAGGGCCCAGCCAACUGUUUACUAAAAACACAGGUCUCCGCUAAGUCGUAAGACGACGUAUGGGGACUGACACCUGCCCGGUGCCGGAAGGUUAAAUAGAGGGGUCAGCGAAAGCGAAGCUCUGAUAUGAAGCCCCGGUAAACGGCGGCCGUAACUAUAACGGUCCUAAGGUAGCGAAAUUCCUUGUCGGGUAAGUUCCGACCUGCACGAAUGGUGUAAUGAUCUGGGCGCUGUCUCGACCAUGGACUCGGUGAAAUUGAAGUGCUGGUGAAGAUGCCAGCUUCCCGCAGCAGGACGGAAAGACCCCGUGGACCUUCACUGCACCCUGAUAGUGAUGUUUAGCUCAUUCUGCGUAGGAUAGGUGGGAGACGAUGAAGCCGGUACUCUGGUAUCGGUGGAGCCAACCUUGAAAUACCACCCUGGAUUUGUUGAACGUCUAACUCGAUCCCAUUAGCUGGGAGGAGGACACUGUCAGGCGGGUAGUUUGACUGGGGCGGUCGCCUCCAAAAGAGUAACGGAGGCGCACAAAGGUUCCCUCAGCGCGGUCGGUAAUCGCGCAUCGAGUGCAUAGGCAACAGGGAGCUUGACUGCGAGACCAACAUGUCGAGCAGGUGCGAAAGCAGGUCUAAGUGAUCCGGUGGUCCCGAAUGGAAGGGCCAUCGCUUAUCGAAUAAAAGGUACCCCGGGGAUAACAGGCUGAUCUCCGCCAAGAGUUCACAUCGACGCGGAGGUUUGGCACCUCGAUGUCGGCUCGUCGCAUCCUGGGGCUGAAGAAGGUCCCAAGGGUUUGGCUGUUCGCCAAUUAAAGCGGUACGCGAGCUGGGUUUAAAACGUCGCGAGACAGUUUGGUCCCUAUCCGCUGUGGGCGAAGGUUCUUUGAGGGGAGUUGCCAUUAGUACGAGAGGACCGUGGUGAACGAACCGCUGGUGUACCGGUUGUCCCGCCAGGGGCACCGCCGGGUAGCUAUGUUCGGAACGGAUAAGCGCUGAAAGCAUCUAAGUGCGAAGCCGGCCCCAAGACUAGAGAACCCUUCCGUAAGGACUAAAGCGCCGUCGUAGACCACGACGUCGAUAGGUCGCAGGUGUAAGAGCAGUAAUGCUUUAGCCGAGCGAUACUAAUAGCGCGUGAGACUUUCUCGA